UAGACACUAGUGGUACCGUGGCGAUUGGUGAUACCCUUCUCUACCCUUAUAUCCUUGUGAUAUCUUUCAGACACGCUUUCAGAUUUCUGUUUAUUUCUUUCAUUUCUUUGAUUAUUAGCUGUUUAGUUUUUAGUUCUUUUUUAUCUUGCUAAGCUAACAGAAAAAUAUCAAAAACACGAACCAGACACGAAUUAUGUAGUCAAUAUUUUAGAGGAAAAUUAAAGUUAUAAUGUUAUCUGAUCUCUGAUUUUAUUAAGCGACCCAGAAGAAAUAUUUGGUUUUGUUAUUUAUUAUUUUUUAUUAUCCAUAAAUACAGGGUAUUAACAUUUUUAUGGAAAAUACACACCUUCCAGCUUUUCCAAUAAUUAAUAUAAUAACAUUUUUUAAAUAGUAGUUUAGCAGAGAAAUGGAUGUUGAAGUAAAAGUGAAAGAAUAUGAAGAUUUUUU